rnacentral:tRNA from 1 species
GCCCGUGUGGUGGAAAUGGUAGACACGGCAGCUUUGGAAGCUGUCGCCUGGCAGGCAAUGUCGGUUCAAAUCCGGCCACGGGCACCA